CCUCAGUUUAAGAAGAAAUGAUCAAAUAAAACAAACCACAAUUCUCUGCUUUUAUGAAUAAGGAAGAGAUAGAAGAGUGACCAGGGGAUAAAAUACUCUGAUAAAAAUGCAGCAGUUCAUUUGAAAAUAAUUAAAGAUGACAGCCUGGAUCCCAAGAUAAGGAAAACAAUGAUACAAAAAGGAAUCAUCAGCUCAGUAAGAGUCUGGAAGCUCUUUUGUGUGGCCUGAUGUGUUUUCAAAACUAGACAAUACUGUCUGUUGGGCAAAUACCAACAGAGAGUAAACAAAGCUGUAUUUUUUUCAACAGAUAAAGUAGAUAUUAACUCCCCUUAAAGGGGGAGUUAAUAUUCCUCAAUAGACCAAAUCCUUCCCCCAAAUCAUACUCAAUGCUAUCUUUAAGAUAUUAUCAUUUUCUUUUAGCUAAACACAUUUACUAAAUUUACUGGAUUAACAUGAGUGUACAGGGCACAGAGUUAUCUUCAGAGCUCCUUAAAUAAAAAAAGUGUGGCCUCUGAGGUUGGUUCAUGCAGUUCCACCUCUAACUGGCCUCAAUGAGGCCAGGCAGCCUGGUGUAGAUGAUGGUAAUCAGUGGCUGAUUGGAGAGAGGUUGGUUUGAAGGACAAGAGCUUCUCCUCUGUGGAGAGAUUGAAAGGAAUAUCUUGAAAAUGUAAGGAAAGAAAACCCACCAGGUAAAACAAGUCCUGGAAGCUUUAGCUGUGGUGUCAGGGCUUGCAACAGAGAGUGAUGGUGGCUCUUAUCAGUGCUGGCAGGUGUAGGAGGUGUGAGCAGCCUUGCAGGCAGACUAUCCAGGUCACUGCAUCCAGGAAGGGAGAGAAAGCAAAAGUUCCUCAACACCAGAUUUCCUGUGACAGAAAAUGUACACCUAUUUUUUAUGUACUCAGACAUUACAGUGUGUGAAGAAAAACACAAAAGAAGCAACAGUUUUCCUUUCAUGAAAAAGAAAUCCAGGAAUAAGUGUGGUCAGACAAGACAAUGAAGGUGAGAUAAAACACUGAAUAGCUAUAUUAAGCAAGCUCCUACUUUGUUCAGUGUACAUAUGGGUCCCACUGGAAAAAGCAAAACAAAAAGCAAGUGGAAAGCUGUAAUUCAAUACACUGUUUGAAAAAAUGACCCCAGAUGUAAUGUUUCCUAGCAUCCAGAUAGUUCAACCAAUAUUACAAGACCAUUAAUGUCAUAGCUGUGUUUUAUUUUACUCAUAAUCCAAGAAAAGGGAAGGAGAAAAGAGAUUUGUCGCAGGUGUGUUCGGUAGAAAUUCUCUACAAAGGUGAAUGGCUGAUAUGCCAGGAGAUGGUCAGGCUUAAAUUUGUAACACUCCCUCUAGAAAUGCAGGGCUGGAUAAUGCCUGCACUGCCAACACCAUGCAGCAUGCUACACAUUUGGCACAACAGGUAAAAGAAAGAUUGUAUGUAAAGUGAUGCAGCUGAAGCAACAGUGGAACAGCAUUUUGGAAACUGCUUUCAGUGUAGGAAAUCAUAGGAUUUGAGUGACAGGACUGGAUCAACAGAAGGGCUUGGGGAAGAGGCAUGGAGAAGUUCCGUGUUUGGGUCUGGUUUGUUUGUUCAUCCCUUUCCCCCUCUGUUCAGUCAGCAGCACACAAGGCAAUCUGUCAUACAACAGAUUCUGCCUACAGUCUGGGUGGGAUUGCUAAGGGAAUGAGGUUCUUCCUCCUGGUCUGAUGACUGAGCAGAAAAGGAAAAGAAAGAAGUACUUUAAUCUGAAAGGAAAAGUUCAGCUUUGUGGGUUCCUGACAAGACAGUUUGGUAUGAAAAAUAAUCCUGUUGUGAGGAAACUUUUAAUCACUCCUUUCUUCAUUAAGUGUUAACAACAGAUUAGUACAAUUAUAAAUUUGAUAUUUUAAAAUUAAUGGAAUUGAAAAAUAAAUGCUAUUAUAUAAUAUAGUAUAUUAUAG
rnacentral:lncRNA from 1 species